UACAGAGGAGCCAAGCGUUGUCCGGAUUGACUGGGCGUAAAGCGCACGCAGGCGGGGGUGCGCGUGGGGUGUGAAAUCUGGCCGCUUAACGGCCAGGCGCCAUCCCAUACGGCACGCCUGGAGCCUUGCAGAGUCGGUGGAAUUGCCGGUGUAGUGGUGAAAUGCGUAGAGAUCGGCAGGAACACCCAGGGGGAAACCAGCCGACUGGGCAAGUGCUGACGCUGAGGUGCGAGAGCGUGGGGAGCGAACCGG
rnacentral:rRNA from 1 species